GACACCUCAAAAAGGAGGAGUUGAGAUGAUAAGGGAGGGAUUAAACGCCUCUUUUAUGAUACAUAAAAAAUUGGUGGACUCUUUUGACACAUCAUUAGUUCAUAUAUGAAUACAUUGAAUGGGUAAAAUUGUGUUUAAUAGUUAUAACUUUAAGAUGUAAGAGGUUUCUCAAAAAAAUUAAGGGAAUGAUGAAUUACGAAGAACAAAUUAAAAAGGAUAAUGAGUUAAAAAAU
rnacentral:misc_RNA from 1 species